rnacentral:rRNA from 1 species
CCUACGGGUGGCAGCAGUGGGGAAUAUUGGACAAUGGGGGGAACCCUGAUCCAGCCAUGCCGCGUGUGUGAAGAAGGCCCUCGGGUUGUAAAGUACUUUCAGUGAGGAAGAACGCCUGGUGGUUAAUACCCAUCAGGAAAGACAUCACUCACAGAAGAAGCACCGGCUAACUCCGUGCCAGCAGCCGCGGUAAUACGGAGGGUGCGAGCGUUAAUCGGAAUUACUGGGCGUAAAGCGCGCGUAGGUGGCUUGAUAAGCCGGUUGUGAAAGCCCCGGGCUCAACCUGGGAACGGCAUCCGGAACUGUCAAGCUAGAGUGCAGGAGAGGAAGGUAGAAUUCCCGGUGUAGCGGUGAAAUGCGUAGAGAUCGGGAGGAAUACCAGUGGCGAAGGCGGCCUUCUGGACUGACACUGACACUGAGGUGCGAAAGCGUGGGUAGCAAACAGGAUUAGAUACCCUUGUAGUC